ACAGUGUUCUCCCCAGGAUUUUUGGAUAGCACCAGGGUAACGCGUGAUGAAAUGAAUUUUACAGUAUUUUGUGUCGCUUUGCGUCGCUUAUUUUUUUUCUUGUUACUUUUUGUUAUUACCUGUUUGCCUUUGUUUUGUUUACUGUGGAACUGUGUUGUAGGACUUUGGGUCAGAAAAUUAUUGGUAGAAAAAGUAAAUUAAUAAACAGUUUGUAUACUUUAAUAUCUUUGAAGAAUAAAUAAAAGAAAGCACAAUUAGUCUUUAAGCUAAAGUCACUUCUUAUAUUUUGAUCAAGCCAUUUUGUCCCGAUACUUGUAGUUACACUACACAUUCCCCAUAACAAUGAACUUUGAACAAGAUUUUUGAUACAGAACCUUCAGUAAAUUAAAAACUAUUUUCCAUAGUUUUAGAUCUGAUUCUUUUAGACAACAACAAAUUUGUUUUUAUGAUUAAUACUUUGUUACAGACAUGGAGAGUACUUUAAAAGAGUUUUCUAUUCACAAGGUUCAUCCCUAGCUUUAGUCCUGCAUGGGAAUGUAUUAGAGUUGUGGCAGUAGGCUUUUUAGACCUGUUACAGUCAAAUAUUUUUAACAUUGUAUAAAUUACCCAUUUAUUAUAAUAUGUCUGUGCAUCAAUAAUGGUAUGAUUCUCAAAAAUAAUUUGCAAAACAUUUUUGUUGGUAUGUUCUAAGAAUGUUUUCAUCCUUAAUGUAACAUUCUAAUAUAAUUUUGCAUUCAAUUUGUACUUUAUUUUUAUUUGCAAAGAGAAAUUAUAUGUGAGGAGCAUUUAUUUGUAAUUAGCAAAAUCAGGGGAAGUAACUCCACAAUUAAUUCCUAAAAGGCAAAUUAUUUUGACUUGAGACUGGCGUAAUAGGGUUCAUUAACAAAUGUCUGCUUGUCCCUCACAAGUCUGUUAUCUAAAUUAUGAUCUCUUAAUUAAUUAAAACACAAAAGAAUCAUGUACAUCGAUUAAAUCCAAUCAUCAAGGUUAACCUCAACAGGUAAAUCGAUCACGUGGUGUAAACAAUCAUCUUGUCAAUACUGGAUUAAACUGGUUAGAACUGGUCAAUUUUGAUGUAAAGUUGAAGUCAUCUGAAACUUUACCGAUUUUAAUACGAUUUUUUUACCGAAAACUUUAGCACCACGGAAAAAAAUUAUACAUCGCGGCAAGAACGAUACCACCGCGGCAGAAAAUUAUACAUCGCGGGCCCGUGGUCCUUUAAGGGCCUGGGGAGAACACUGCAU
rnacentral:lncRNA from 1 species